UCCGGUGGCCUAACUGGUUAGGGCGUCUGCCUCGGAUGCUGGAGGCCACGGGUUCGAACAUAGAGCCGAGUCAUAACAA